GACGAACGCUGGCGGCGUGCCUAAUACAUGCAAGUAGAACGCUGAAGAGAGGAGCUUGCUCUUCUUGGAUGAGUUGCGAACGGGUGAGUAACGCGUAGGUAACCUGUCUUGUAGCGGGGGAUAACUAUUGGAAACGAUAGCUAAUACCGCAUAACAAUAGGUGACACAUGUCAUUUAUUUGAAAGGGGCAAUUGCUCCACUACAAGAUGGACCUGCGUUGUAUUAGCUAGUAGGUGAGGUAACGGCUCACCUAGGCGACGAUACAUAGCCGACCUGAGAGGGUGAUCGGCCACACUGGGACUGAGACACGGCCCAGACUCCUACGGGAGGCAGCAGUAGGGAAUCUUCGGCAAUGGGGGCAACCCUGACCGAGCAACGCCGCGUGAGUGAAGAAGGUUUUCGGAUCGUAAAGCUCUGUUGUAAGUCAAGAACGAGUGUGAGAGUGGAAAGUUCACACUGUGACGGUAGCUUACCAGAAAGGGACGGCUAACUACGUGCCAGCAGCCGCGGUAAUACGUAGGUCCCGAGCGUUGUCCGGAUUUAUUGGGCGUAAAGCGAGCGCAGGCGGUUUGAUAAGUCUGAAGUUAAAGGCUGUGGCUCAACCAUAGUUCGCUUUGGAAACUGUCAAACUUGAGUGCAGAAGGGGAGAGUGGAAUUCCAUGUGUAGCGGUGAAAUGCGUAGAUAUAUGGAGGAACACCGGUGGCGAAAGCGGCUCUCUGGUCUGUAACUGACGCUGAGGCUCGAAAGCGUGGGGAGCGAACAGG
rnacentral:rRNA from 1 species